AUGUCUCUGCAUCAAUUUCUGCUGGAGCUAAUCACCUGCCAUGCCUGGAACAGGGAUCAUACCCAGAUCGCCCCGAACCCCAAUAACCAUGAAGUGCACAUCUAUAAGAAGAAUGGGAGUCAGUAGAUGAAAAUGCACGAGCUGAAGGAACAUAACGGGCAUAUCACAGGUAUUGACUGGGCUCCUAAGAGCGACCGUAUUGUCACUUGUGGGGCAGACCACAAGGCCUAUGUCUGGAGUCAGAAA
rnacentral:lncRNA from 1 species